rnacentral:rRNA from 1 species
GGGAACGUACCCUUCGGUUCGGAAUAACUCAGGGAAACUUGAGCUAAUACCGGAUACGCCCUUUUGGGGAAAGGUUUACUGCCGAGGGAUGAGCCCGCGUAGGAUUAGCUAGUUGGUGUGGUAAGAGCGCACCAAGGCGACGAUCCUUAGCUGGUCUGAGAGGAUGAUCAGCCACACUGGGACUGAGACACGGCCCAGACUCCUACGGGAGGCAGCAGUGGGGAAUAUUGGACAAUGGGCGAAAGCCUGAUCCAGCAAUGCCGCGUGAGUGAUGAAGGCCUUAGGGUUGUAAAGCUCUUUUACCCGGGAUGAUAAUGACAGUACCGGGAGAAUAAGCUCCGGCUAACUCCGUGCCAGCAGCCGCGGUAAUACGGAGGGAGCUAGCGUUAUUCGGAAUUACUGGGCGUAAAGCGCACGUAGGCGGCUUUGUAAGUUAGAGGUGAAAGCCUGGAGCUCAACUCCAGAAUUGCCUUUAAGACUGCAUCGCUCGAAUCCAGGAGAGGUGAGUGGAAUUCCGAGU